UAGCCGUAAACGAUACUCGCUAGGUGUCGGCCACGGUGCGACCGUUGUCGGUGCCGUAGGGAAGCCGUGAAGCGAGCCACCUGGGAAGAACGGCCGCAAGGCUGAAACUUAAAGGAAUUGGCGGGGGAGCACAACAACGGGUGGAGCUUGCGGUUUAAUUGGAUUCAACGCCGGAAAUCUUACCGGGACCGACAGCAACAUGAAGGCCAAGCUGAAGACUUUGCCGGAUUAGCUGAGAGGUGGUGCAUGGCGUAGUCGUGU
rnacentral:rRNA from 1 species